rnacentral:rRNA from 1 species
GGAAUAUUGGUCAAUGGGCGUGAGCCUGAACCAGCCAAGUAGCGUGCAGGACGACGGCCCUAUGGGUUGUAAACUGCUUUUAUGCGGGGAUAAAGUUCGGCACGUGUGCCGUUUUGUAGGUACCGCAUGAAUAAGGACCGGCUAAUUCCGUGCCAGCAGCCGCGGUAAUACGGAAGGUCCGGGCGUUAUCCGGAUUUAUUGGGUUUAAAGGGAGCGCAGGCCGGAGGUCAAGCGUGACGUGAAAUGUAGCCGCUCAACGGCUGAGUUGCGUCGCGAACUGGUUUCCUUGAGUGAGUACGACGUCAGCGGAAUUCGUGGUGUAGCGGUGAAAUGCGUAGAUAUCACGAAGAACUCCGAUUGCGCAGGCAGCCUUCCAGUCCGUUACUGACGCUAAAGCUCGAAGGUGCGGGUAUCGAACA